UAACAAGGAUUCCCCUAGUAACUGCGAGUGAAGCGGGAAAAGCUCAAAUUUAAAAUCUGGCGGUCUUCUGGCCGUCCGAGUUGUAGUCUGGAGAAGCGUUUUCCGCGUUGGACCGUGUACAAGUUUCCUGGAACGGAGCGUCAUAGAGGGUGAGAAUCCCGUCUUUGACACGGAUCCCAAUGCUUUGUGAUGCGCUCUCAAAGAGUCGAGUUGUUUGGGAAUGCAGCUCAAAAUGGGUGGUGAAUUCCAUCUAAAGCUAAAUAUUGGCGAGAGACCGAUAGCGAACAAGUACCGUGAGGGAAAGAUGAAAAGCACUUUGGAAAGAGAGUUAAACAGUACGUGAAAUUGUUGAAAGGGAAACGCUUGAAGUCAGUCGCGUCGGCCGGGACUCAGCCUUGCAUCCGCUUGGUGUACUUUCCGGUCGACGGGCCAGCAUCAGUUUUGACCGCGAGAUAAAGGCGGAGGGAAUGUGGCUCUCUCGGGAGUGUUAUAGCCCUUCGUCAGAUGUCGCGGUUGGGACUGAGGAACUCAGCACGCCUUUAUGGCCGGGGCUCGCCCACGUACGUGCUUAGGAUGCUGGCGUAAUGGCUUUAAACGACCCGUCUUGAAACACGGACCA
rnacentral:rRNA from 1 species